GCGGAUAAGGUACUUGUGGGUCAGGUAGCGGGUCCAAGCGGGUAAGAAUGCGGGUCCGGGUUCCAAAAAAUGGACACGCGCAGGACUCUAGCACAUGGAGCAGAGACAGACAGAAGGUGGAGCCACAUCCAGCAGUAGAUGCACUUGUAGGGUCUGAAUGUGAUGCUCCACUCUGCUUCUUUCCUCAGUGCCAGCAUUGGGGACUGAUACUGAAUCUGUAAAGCACCUUUAAAGGGCCAGUAAUGCAUGGAAAUUCUUAAAUAUCAAGUUUAAAGAGCCAUACGUGAUCUCUGACCCCUUCCUGUAUUCGAUGCAGUUUAUCAGUUCUCCGCUGUGUUAAUAUGCGCCUAAAUCCCUGUUUUCCAGCCUGAAUGUCUCCCCCGUAGUCUAUUUCUAUGAACCCGGAGCAGCAGUGUUUCUGCAGCCAAUACACCGUUCUGAGCAGGGCACAUGAUCAUUAAAGGCACAGAAACCUUUAUUUUUUAUUAUUAUUAUUGGUUCUUGAAAUUGAAACUGUUCAUGUCAGGCAACACAUUAUAAAACAGUGGCAUCUAGAAAGCUCUUGUUCUUCCAAGGUAACUGGAUUCUGUCUGUCUGCCUCUUUCAUAGGAGCCGGUGUCUCUUUCUCUCUGAGCGAAAAUAGGUCAUAGGCGCUCACACACACGUGGAUAAGUGAUCCUCUUCUCCCACUGGGGGCUUAGGGUAGGGGUAGUGCUGGAAUUCACACAGCAGGAGCAAUAGGGUGUUUUUGGGAAGCCCCGUCUGUGAUAGUGUGAGUUCACCUGGUUUCAUCUGUUUAUCUGCCUAUGAGACUACCUGCAUGAUGAAUCAUCAUUGUGUAAACUCCAGUACAAAGUUACAAUACACAAUAGCCAUGACUAACCUGCAAAAUAUAUCCUGAUGAGUGACAUAGCAGCUGAGCUUGAACAAAACAACAUGGCAGCCAUCAAGUUCAACCUUUUUGCCCACAGCCUGCUCGUACUCACAUGAAAAUAUAUAUAUGAUAUAAUAUUCCCUCCAGUAGAGUUCUGUGAAUUGCUCUAACAUUUUCUAUUUGAUAUUUGCAGCCUGCGGCCCCACAUCAGUGAAGUGCAACUGCCAGAAACAUACUGACUGCCAGCUGAAUUCAGCUAUUUCAGCAUGCUACAAGUUGGAAGCAACCUGCCAUAGACCAAGGUGAGAGAUCCACUGGUUUGGCACCGGGGCUGUCACUAUCCCACGCUUCAAUAAACUGGGAGUCUGCGAAAAAGCUUCAAGAAUAAAAAUCCUAUGAGCAAAAAAAGAGCAAUUGAACAGAGGGAAAAAAGUUCAGUAUAUAUGAGAGGCUAUUAACGUCUUCAAAUGGGACCUCUGCCAUUGGCUUCUACAUCAACUCGGCAGGAUUACGGUGGCGUUCUAUCGAAUUCGAUUUGUUCCCAGGGUCGAGCCUAUUUCCCACCAGGUAUAAGACAGAGAAGCAAGGGAACAAUCUGCUCGACUGAGAACAUUGGAGAUGCCGGAGACCGAUAUGAGCAGAAACCUGGAGCCUCCCACUGGCAGGAUCCGUCAUUUAGCAAGAAAACACUCAUAGAAGGUUGGACCCUGGAUGAAAAGAAUUUUGGCUAUAUUUAGAAAGGCGAGUUUUUGCUUUAAAACUGUGGUUUAUAGAAUGUUAAUUAAACUUAGACUGACCAGAGUAAUAACUCCAAACACACAUGGGCACAGAAGUGGGCCCUGCCAUCAGGGCUGAUCCUAUCAAAUGUGGGGCCCAAUUGGGACCAUGUUGUCGGGGCCCCUAGACAAAGU